AACGAACGCUGGCGGCAGGCUUAACACAUGCAAGUCGAGCGCCCCGCAAGGGGAGCGGCAGACGGGUGAGUAACGCGUGGGAAUCUACCCAUCUCUACGGAAUAACGCAUGGAAACGUGUGCUAAUACCGUAUACGUCCUUCGGGAGAAAGAUUUAUCGGAGAUGGAUGAGCCCGCGUUGGAUUAGCUAGUUGGUGGGGUAAAGGCCUACCAAGGCGACGAUCCAUAGCUGGUCUGAGAGGAUGAUCAGCCACACUGGGACUGAGACACGGCCCAGACUCCUACGGGAGGCAGCAGUGGGGAAUAUUGGACAAUGGGCGCAAGCCUGAUCCAGCCAUGCCGCGUGAGUGAUGAAGGCCCUAGGGUUGUAAAGCUCUUUCACCGGUGAAGAUAAUGACGGUACCCACAGAAGAAGCCCCGGCUAACUCCGUGCCAGCAGCCGCCGUAACAC
rnacentral:rRNA from 1 species